rnacentral:misc_RNA from 1 species
UUUCCGUAGGUGAACCUGCGGAAGGAUCAUUCAUAAUAAGUGUUUUAUGGCACUUUUUAAAUCCAUAUCCACCUUGUGUGCAAUGUCAGGGUUGAUUUCUCUCGAGAGAUCAACCCCAAACAUCAACUAUAAUCUCAACUCUUUGUCUGAAAAAUAUCAUGAAUAAAACAAUUCAAAAUACAACUUUCAACAACGGAUCUCUUGGCUCUC